UAAUGACUUAAUAAUCGGGUAAAUCAGUGUCACACAGUGUUUCUUGGUAGUCUAUAACAAAUCUACUGCAAAACAAAAGAAUACACAUCACACACAUGGUUAUGGGCUUAAAAAAAGACUCCAGUAUCAUGUCAGAUAUAGAGUUGACAUUUAUUACAUUUUUAGUUUGCAUCCCAAUAUGACACUUUAAACACAUCAGAGAAGACUGAAAUGGAACAAAACGCCUAUUGUGUUUAUUGAGCUGUACACUGAGAUUCUCAGUUGGUCAAUAUUCCCCUUCUGUGAUUCCACAACAUCUUGUCAACAUGUGCCUCAGAAAUGGAUCAGAUAUCUUAUACCAAUCUAUCUUUAUAGACAUUCAUCCAUAACAAGGCCAAGGCGUCCCUUAUAGUGUCCAGAAAUCUCUCGAAACGGUCACGUUUUGAAACACAUAAAAAAGCAUUUUGAUGAACAAAUUCACAUUCUUUAGCGUAGACAAUUUGUUUCUGUUUUAAUGAGUGUUUGCGAUUAGCUCCCUGAGUGGUCAAAAACCUCUUCAAUUGAAGUAUGUUUAUAGCAUUAUUCACAAAAUAUCUUACAGGUAGGCCCUCUCUCACUCUUUCUCAUCAUGUCUCAAGCUGACAGGCUCCCAGAGGCAGGGCCAUAAAAGGCCCCAGCUCACUCAACUGCCACUCUGUUCUCACACAGCCAUCAGCCCAGAACAUCCUGAAGACAGAACACCUCAAAGAUAAUCUGUGAAUAAUUUCUUCCUCAUGGAGCUAUUUGAAGCUAUCUGCACACCUGGUCCUGAUCAUCAUCUCUCCUCUUCAUAAGCCCGGACCUGACAUCCAUUCCCUGCCGGAUCGUUAGCCAUGAACAUUACUCACCCGGAUCAUUUACCCCAUUCCCGCCUGGUCGUCGGCGAAUUCCGCUACCCCAUUGGAUCCACCUAUUUACUCCCAUCAACUCACCACCGCUGCCCGCUACGCCACCUGGAUAUAUCUACCCAUUCACUUGUAAAUAAAUACUCACCUUCUUCCUACUCUCCUUGUCCUGGUCUGCUUCUGGGUCCAA